CGAGGUGUAGCGCAGUUGGUAGCGCGCAUGGUUCGGGACCAUGAGGCCGCGAGUUCGAGUCUCGCCACUUCGACCA
rnacentral:tRNA from 1 species